GUAGUGAAAAAAUAACUAAUUGCUCCUUCAGCAGUGGGUAUCUCAACAGUUCACACAGUGUGAGAAGUCCCAGACCAACUGAAGUUAGUGGGAGCACUGCUAACCUGGAGCAGUUCACUGAUCGGCCACAUCUGCAUGCCUCCUGGAAUAGGGGACAGCCAUCACCAGGACCUCAGCAGCCCCCUGAGCUGCAGUGAGUGCAACAUCAGAUGACAGCAGCUGCUAGACAAGUUUGGCUGGGUCAGGAAUCUGUACCCUCAUCUGCAACUGCAGAGAAAACCCCUUCACUGGGAUUCACCUCACCAGUCCCUCCUUCGGUCCAGGCCUCCGUACCAGUGCUGUGGGCCCUCUUGGACUGGCAGCAGCUACAGAAGGGGCUAUGCUGUAUCGUCAACCCUGCAGCUGAAUUCACCCUGCAAACAGUGGUAAGUGCUAAUAGGAUCCUGUCAUGCUGCACUGUUCAGAUGUAUUUUGUCUCCAUCAGAGAUGCUAUUAGGAAGAAACAAGUGAAAAAAAAAAUAAGAGAAGCAAGGGACUUUCCAUCUUACUGGGUCUUGGCAGGUCAGCUGAAGGCUUGUGAGAAGGCCCAUACUGCAUUUCAGGUGGUGGAAGAACAGAAAGAAUGCUGUACUAAUUCUCCCUCCAGCCAGACUGAUGUCCAGAACAGAUUUUUCACCGCAGUUCAAACAGCAAUGUUCUGCCAGGUAUCUGUGUCCUGAGGGGCUGUUAAACAUUUUUUCACCUCAGUUUAGAGUUAAAUCUUGUCUGUACUGCUACAAAAUUUAACCACACAGGGGCUGGAAACUCUGUUUUAGCAGACAUUUUCAGAGUUCACAAAGGAGCAUAGAUGCUGAUGGACAAAACCUUGCCAUAAAACUGUAUGAUGCCACAGUCUUCAAGAAGAUAUGAUAUGACCCAUCAUGCUGUAAAAUAGUUCAGACUGCAAUUAGUUUUGCUAAUGCAUAGAACAGAGCUAAAGCGAAUGAAUAAAAUGCUUGCUUAGGCUUUAAUUCUGAAAUGCUGACUAUGCAUUUUUACUUUGGUCACUAGGGCUUCAGUAACUCCUUUUGGAUUUGUGCAUAGAGAGCAGGAGAAGGAAUGCAUCGCAUCAGUGCACGAGUGAAUUCUCAGGGAGUCUAGGAACCGGGAUCUCUGUCUGAUCCAGGCAGUUAACCAAAAUGUAAGUCUUGUCAGCUAUUUGUUUUCUGAAAGAAGGUGGUUAUAUGACUGAGGCAGCAGAAUUGACAGUGCAGAGAGAGUAGUAAACCUCUCUCAAAUUCCAACUCUGAGUAGUGAGCUCAUAUUUUUAUGUACUGGUCUCACAAGAAAAAGACAGGAAGAAAGAUUACGCAGGACUAGGCUUGCAUACCUUCACAAAAUUCCCACUAGCUAGAAUAGUAAUAAGCUGAAGUUCUCACAUAGCUAUUUUCCAGAGUUAAAAUAAAUGCUCAUAAGUCUUCAAUACAGCAAAGACAGUAUUGCCAGUAAGAACACAAUAGCUCACACAUAAGCACCCUCAGCAAGGACAAAACUAGUCAAGCACUUUUUUCCCCUUUGGACUUCACUCACUGUGUUCAGGUACAAAAAAAGCAUUAGUGUCACUGAGACAGAUGCGAGACAUACUCUCCCACAAGAAAAGCCUUUCCCACUCUUCAGCUAGCAUACGCAAAGAUGUAGUCAAGAAUGUAGAAACACUGUCUCAAGCUCUAUUUCAGUCCUUGACUAUCUCAGUCUAUUAUGAGUUUUGUGUCUUUCCAC